rfam:Arabis alpina cultivar Pajares chromosome 1, whole genome shotgun sequence.
UUAGUAGAUAUUGUGUGUAUCUGCUUAGUGUGAUUUAAUGCGCUUUGUACGAAAGAUUUCGCGAAAUUGAUUAGGGGCAGAUGGGUAGUUGUGAUUCAUAGUUAAUUGAAUAGACUCAACAAUCAUCUUCCCCAUAUUU